ensembl:lincRNA Xist inactive X specific transcripts
UGUUUGCUCGUUUCCCGUGGAUGUGCGGUUCUUCCGUGGUUUCUCUCCAUCUAAGGAGCUUUGGGGGAACAUUUUUAGUUCCCCUACCACCAAGCCUUAUGGCUUAUUUAAGAAAACAUAUCAAAAUUCCACGAGAUUUUUGACGUUUUGAUAUGUUCUGGUAAGAUUUUUUUUUUGACAUGUCCUCCAUACUUUUUGAUAUUUGUAAUAUUUUCAGUCAAUUUUUCAUUUUUAAGGAAUAUUUCUUUGUUGUGCCUUUUGGUUGAUACUUGUGUGUGUAUGGUGGACUUACCUUUCUUUCAUUGUUUAUAUAUUCUUGCCCAUCGGGGCCACGGAUACCUGUGUGUCCUCCCCGCCAUUCCAUGCCCAACGGGGUUUUGGAUACUUACCUGCCUUUUCAUUCUUUUUUUUUCUUAUUAUUUUUUUUUCUAAACUUGCCCAUCUGGGCUGUGGAUACCUGCUUUUAUUCUUUUUUUCUUCUCCUUAGCCCAUCGGGGCCAUGGAUACCUGCUUUUUGUAAAAAAAAAAAAAAAAACAAAAAAACCUUUCUCGGUCCAUCGGGACCUCGGAUACCUGCGUUUAGUCUUUUUUUCCCAUGCCCAACGGGGCCUCGGAUACCUGCUGUUAUUAUUUUUUUUUCUUUUUCUUUUGCCCAUCGGGGCUGUGGAUACCUGCUUUAAAUUUUUUUUUUCACGGCCCAACGGGGCGCUUGGUGGAUGGAAAUAUGGUUUUGUGAGUUAUUGCACUACCUGGAAUAUCUAUGCCUCUUAUUUGCGUGUACUGUUGCUGCUGAUCGUUUGGUGCUGUGUGAGUGAACCUAUGGCUUAGAAAAACGACUUUGCUCUUAAACUGAGUGGGUGUUCAGGGCGUGGAGAGCCCGCGUCCGCCAUUAUGGCUUCUGCGUGAUACGGCUAUUCUCGAGCCAGUUACGCCAAGAAUUAGGACACCGAGGAGCACAGCGGACUGGAUAAAAGCAACCAAUUGCGCUGCGCUAGCUAAAGGCUUUCUUUAUAUGUGCGGGGUUGCGGGAUUCGCCUUGAUUUGUGGUAGCAUUUGCGGGGUUGUGCUAGCCGGAAGUAGAAAGCCAAGGAGUGCUCGUAUUAGUGUGCGGUGUUGCGCGGAAGCCGCAGAGGACUAGGGGAUAGGGCUCAGCGUGGGUGUGGGGAUUGGGCAGGGUGUGUGUGCAUAUGGACCCCUGGCGCGGUCCCCCGUGGCUUUAAGGGCUGCUCAGAAGUCUAUAAAAUGGCGGCUCGGGGGCUCCACCCGAGGCUCGACAGCCCAAUCUUUGUUCUGGUGUGUAGCAAUGGAUUAUAGGACAUUUAGGUCGUACAGGAAAAGAUGGCGGCUCAAGUUCUUGGUGCGGUAUAACGCAAAGGGCUUUGUGUGUCACAUGUCAGCUUCAUGUCUGAGUUAGCCUGGAGAGGUGGCACAUGCUCUUGAAUGUGUCUAAGAUGGCGGAAGUCAUGUGACCUGCCCUCUAGUGGUUUCUUUCAGUGAUUUUUUUUUUGGCGGGCUUUAGCUACUUGGCGGGCUUUGCCCGAGGGUACACUUGGUGCAUUAUGGUAGGGUGUGGUUGGUCCUACCUUGUGCCACUCGAAGCUGAGGCAAGGCUAAGUGGAAGUGUUGGUUGCCACUUGACGUAACUCGUCAGAAAUGGGCACAAGUGUGAAAGUGUUGGUGUUUGCUUGACUUCCAGUUAGAAAUGUGCAUUAUUGCUUGGUGGCCAGGAUGGAAUUAGACUGUGAUGAGUCACUGUCCCAUAAGGACGUGAGUUUCGCUUGGUACUUCACGUGUGUCUUUAGUCAUCAUUUUUUCGAAGUGCCUGCCCAGGUCGGGAGAGCGCAUGCUUGCAAUUCUAACACUGAAGUGUUGGAUGAUGUCGGAUCCGAUUCGAGAGACCGAGGCUGCGGGUUCUUGGUCGAUGUAAAUCAUUGAAACCUCACCUAUUAAAAGAAAGAAAAGUAUCUAAGGCCAUUUCAAGGACAUUUGACUCAUCCGCUUGCGUUCAUAGUCUCUUACAGUGCUCUAUACGUGGCGGUGCAAACUAAAACUCAGCCCGUUCCAUUCCUUUGUAUUGUUCAGUGGCUAGUCUACUUACACCUUGGCCUCUGAUUUAGCCAGCACUGAUCUCAAGCGGUUCUCUAAGCCUACUGGGUAUAAGUGGUGACUUUGGCCAGAGUCAUAGUGGAUCACAAAUCACUGGUGAAGAGGUAGAAUCCUACCUUCUUCCAAAAUCUACCCCAUGACUAUUGCUGGGGUUGCAUUUUGAUUUCAAUGAAUAUUUUGGAUGCCAACGACACGUCUGAUAGUGUGCUUUGCUAGUGUUUGAAUUUAAAACCGAAGUGAUUGUUUUCAAAAUGUAUUUACGGAUUUGCUUACUUGUUGAAUUCAUUUUAAUUACCUUUAGUGAAUUGUUACUUUGGAGUCCUUAAAGUUUUCAAUAAUUUUUUUGGCAGAUGAUACUCAAAUUACUUGGCACUUAAAUGUACUUUCUUUCAAACUCAUCCACCGAGCUACUCUUCAAAUUUUUAAGUCUUAUAACACAGAUACUGUUAAUGUAAAGUGAACAUUAUGACUGGAUGUCAGGAGUAUUUGAGGUUCUAUACCAGUUCAGGCUUUGCUUUUGUUGCUAUUGUUGAUGCUAUAUUGACUAAUGGUUUUACUUGUCAGCAAGAGCCUUGAAUUGUAAUGCUCUGUGUCCUCUAUCAGACUUACUGUUAUAAUAGUAAUAUUAAGGCCUACAUUUCAACUUUCUGUGUGUUCUUGCCUUUAUGGCAUCUAGAUUCUCCUCAAGACUCAGCAAAUAGUGCUGCUGCUAUUGCUGCCCCAGCCCCAGGCCCAGCCCCAGNAUAGCCCAUUUAUACCCCAUACCCCCUCCAUACUGACUUCUAGGGUCAUGGAAUUUCACUUAAUACAUAGAAUCGUAUUGCUAAAAUGCAGUGUCCAUCACUCAGUCUAUAAGACUGAGAUAUCCCUAUGUAUACCCCAUACUCCCUCCAUACUGACUUCCAGAGUCAUAGAAUUUCACUUUGCAUACGGUCCUAUUGCUAAAAUGCAGGCAUAGAAUCGUAUUGCUAAAAUGCAGUGCCCAUCACUCAGCCUAUAAGACUGAGAUAGCCCAUCUAUACCCCCUCCAUACUGACUUACAGAGUCAUGGAGUUUCACUUAAUGCAUGCAGUCCUAUUGCUAAAAUGCAGUGCCCAUAACUCAGCCUAUAAGACUGAGAUAGCCCAUUUAUACCCCAUACCCCCUCCAUACUGACUUCUAGGGUCAUGGAAUUUCACUUAAUGCAUAGAAUCGUAUUGCUAAAAUGCAGUGUCCAUUACUCAGCCUAUAAGACUGAGAUAUCCCUAUGUAUACCCCAUACCCCCUCCAUACUGACUUCCAGAGACAUAGAAUUUCACUUUGCAUACGGUCCUAUUGCUAAAAUGCAGUGCCCAUCACUCAGCCUAUAAGACUGAGAUAUCCCUAUCUAUACCCUCUACCCCCUCCAUACUGACUUCCAGAGUCAUGGAAUUUCACAUAAUGUAUAGAUUUCUAUUGCUAAAAUGCAGUGCCCAUAACUCAGCCUAUAAGACUGAGAUAGCCCAUCUAUACCCCCUCCAUACUGAGUUCCAGAGUCAUGGAAUUUCACUUAAUGCAUAGAAUCGUAUUGCUAAAAUGCAGUGCCCAUCACUCAGCCUAUAAGACUGAGCCCAUCUAUACCCCAUACCCCCUCCAUACUGACUUCCAGAGUCAUGGAAUUUCACUUUGCAUACAGUCCUACUUUACUUGUCCAUGGACAAGUAAACAAAGAACUCUUGUCCUUCAUGUUAAUCAAGAUACACCAAUCAAACAAGAGUUUUAUAUCAGAGACUUGCCAUGGAGGUAUCAUCUCUCAAGUCUCCUUUCCUUUAAGGAAAGAAAACCAUUCUGUCAUUGCUGUAGUAGUCACAGUCCCAAGUUUCUAAGCAGUGUUCAGUCGUCUUUUCUCAUGUAUUACCUUGAGUACUGAAUAAUUCUGUCAGAAAUAUUUUGUCCAUUGGAUUAGACUUUAGCUAGUCCAGCCCUGUGUGCAUUUAGCAAAGGGGCAAACACAGGUCUGUUAUCAGACAGUUAAAGUGCUCAGUCCCAAUUUUCAAGGCAUUGGCCAUUAAAGGGGGUAGAAUACUAUAUACUGUUGGCAUGCUGUCAUGGGUGCUAUCGCCCCAGGUCACAUCUUUCUAACUGAUGGAGAUACAUUUAUUUGCUCAUGAUAUUGUAUACUAGUCUCACAUGCUUUCUUAUUUCAGCCAAAAACCUCUGCACUGGAACAUUUUAUGUGGAUAAUCCUGACUAGGAAUUGAGUCUUUUCUCAAGGUCCUAAUACUACCCUUGCUUUAUGUAAAGAGGGUGCUGAUUACUUAAUGCCUCUUACACAAUUGUGCAAAAUUGCAGUUGUUCAAGUCCCCUUCUGUUAGUAACCAAGAUCCCAUACCCUCAUACCCUAAUGGGUGACAAUCAAGGGUGCCAACCAAUGAGACCACUUCUCUGUUCUGGUCUUUCUGCUGUGCUGGGGAAUCAAACCUUGAGUCUUGUGUACGCUAGUAAAGCACUGUCAUAGAGCUACAGCCCCACCGUGUGGUGGUUUGAGAGAACAGCCUCUUAUGUAGCCUGGGCUGGGCGGGACUUACAGGCAUUGCCACCUGUAAUGUAAACAUAUUUGUGCCUGUUGUGUGCACAGCUGCAUUUGUCCCUCUUCCUAAGCAUUGGAUAAAGAAACCAAACUAAGUCAAGUCAUUUUGUUGGUAAUCAAGAAGACCUUUGAUCUGUCCUGUUUUUAACUUCCAGGCUGGCCUGGAACUUAGCAUAUAACCCAGGCUAGCCUUGAGCUCAGGAUCUAGCCUGCGUUUAACAAGUGUUGGCAUAUCUGGUUCCUACCACUAUGCCCUGCAUGCAGUCUUUCAUAUUGUGAAUGUGCAUAUGUCAUUUCACUGUAGUAAUCUGCAUCUGGUGAAGACUUAUUUGUAUUGCAGCAGUAUUUAAGAUCCUUAACAUAGUAAAUGUGCACAGUGUUAACUCUAUUGUACAUAUUCUCAUGUCCACAGUUGUGCCUUUUAGAUCAGGACUCCUGUACUUAGCAAAGCAAAGAGGCUCACUAAUAUAAAGCUUCUUUCAUGAGACUAUAGAUUGAAACGAUUCCAAUACGGUCAAUGGUCCUUCAAGGUAAGACUUCUGUCUCUGAUCAUUCAUAUCCUCUUUGCUUUAUGGAAUUAUGUAUGUGCUGUGCACUUGAAACCCCUUCCUCAAACUAUUUAUGUACAUACUGGCAAUUUUAGUAGGAUCAAUUUUACUCUUAACUUUGAAGUACAGAAGUGGUGUUGACCUAUAAGGUCCCAUUUUGUGGCUUGCUAAUAAUAAUGACUGAUUGUAGUAGGCCUUUUCUGUUCACUACAGAAGGAAACCUGAACAGCGUAAAACUGUAAUGGCCAUAAACAUGUACCUUGCAUAUUAGUAUGCAUUUACUGCACACAUCUCAUUCCAUUUGGAUACGAUCCUACUCUCAAACCCUUUUGCAGUACAGCAAGGGUCACUAAUCUUUUGGCUUCUUCAUCUUCCUGGACACUGGAUAAGGCUGUCCCCUCCUUUCCACUCUUUAAUUUCCAGGACUAUUACUUUAAAGACUUAAUAUUUGCAUAAAGGAUGGGGUUUUUAAUUGAUAACAUGUCCCUUGAACAUUAAUGUAUAUAACAGGGACAUGAUCCAUUCAUUUUAAUAAAAAUACUUGGCCAGUUAAUGUGUAAAAUUACACUUAUCCACAACCUUAUUACUUUUCGGACCAUUGUAUCUCUUGCACUCCUGCAAGGGAUACCGUUUAUCUCCCAAGGUCCCUGCUAGUGGACCAUUAAUAUACAGUGAAUCUUCCUUUGUCUUUGCCAGUAAACAAAGGCCAUACUCCUUCGCCUUUCAUUUGCACUAUAUCAGGAUAUGCUGAUCAACAAGGCCGCAUUCUUUUGGACUGUUAUCAUAUAUUAAAUGUAUGCGUAUGCACUGCCACCUGCUCUGUGCACUUGAAAGGAUCCCACUCACUUCCUUAGCACCUUCAGCAGGAAGUGAUAAUAAGCUCAAGACUUUCAUUUGGAAAGUUCACAUGUCUAAGCACUUCUCUAAGAACUACUGUACCCUCUUCUCCGCUUUAAAGCAGAAAGAGGGUUGUACGAAGUGCUCUUCAUUUGGACUUAAGUGCAUUAAUGCAGUUAGUUGUCCAUCAUUACCUUUGGAGUUGGAUUUUACAUCCUUGUACUCUUUUGACACCAGAGGCAUAUUAAUUAUUUCUGAGCACUUCUCUUGUCAAUAUUAAUCUGUACCCUUACACAUAUGACCUGUGCGGCAGCAAAGGUUCUGAAAUGCCUACCUUUUGACUGGGGCUGCUGAGUGGUAGUAACUAUUAGUAACCUCAGCAUUUGGAUGAUUACUAUGCAAAAAUGUCAAGGACCUGUGUGCUCUCUUUGCAUACCAUCAAGGCUACUGAGUCCCAGAAUUAAUUGCUAAGUUAUGCGUAUUUAUAACUAUGAAUGUCUGGAAUAUUUUGUCCCCUUUACAUUAUUGCAGAGGUUGCUGAGCCCCCGAAACUACCCGGUACUGUCAAUGAGCACAGGGGCUCUGACGAAUGACCUGCUCUCUUCCUUAAACUGAUUUUGGGACUCUUAAUAGGCACAAUGGCAGUUCUGGAUGGUUUAUUUUCUACUCCAACUUGAGCAAAUCCCCUGCUAGUUUCCCAAUGAUAUAAUAAAGUACAGCAGUAUGUACACCCAACAAUGACCCGGAUUUCGACCCUUUUUGCAUUGCUUUAAUAUAUACAAUCCUAAAUAGUCACAAUCUCACACUUUAUAGUGUUCCUUUUGCCCGGCCUCUAGUUUGUCCAUUGACCACUUUUCUGAAUCACUAAUUCUCACAAACCCAUCAUUAAGGAAGAGUUUGUGCCCUUUCUCAAUUCCAUCAUGCCAUCCCUUUUGCCUCUUUGUUUGAACAGUAUUGACUGGGCAAAGCCCUUCUCUUGACUUAAAGUCAACAACACCAGUUUACUCACUUCAUAUGGCUACAGUGUCUCAGUUGCCUUCUCCUUGCUCCCACUGAACAGAGACACCUCGAAUUCUUACAUUAUUCUGGGUAAUGUUAAUUACCCCAAACACCCUAUGUGUCAUUAAUAAAUUUUGGUGUAUUUAUACACUGAAUAGCAAAAGCAGGCCAAAACUAGGUGGAUGAGCCUUCAAUCUUUAACUUGCACUUCUAAAUUAUUCCAAUUCCAACUGCUGGCACAUUCUAGGGCCAGGAACCAUUCUUGCCUACCUUUAUUAAUGCUUUAUUGUGCAAAAUAUUGCAGGCAAGUAGCUCAGGGAGUUGGAUUGCCACCUUUUACUUGGGGCUUUCCUUUACAGUAUGAACUGAAAAUUGUCUUCCUGAGAAGGAAGCUUAGCACUUUUCUUUCCAUUCUUCCUCCAGGAAGGAGCCAACUGUCUGCUUAAGAAACUUUAAGCCCGAUUUUGUAUAUUGCUACUGUACAGGACCAACUGCCAGAAAAGUUAUUGAUAAUUUUAUUCCUUAAGAAAGGCAUUUGGAUUGCAAGGUGGAUUGACUGUGAGAUCAUUAGCUUUUGUGAAGUAAAAAUAGCCAUUUGUGUCAUGUUUCUGAAGACUAAGCAGUGUCUCAGUGUACUGAGGGUGAUGAGUCUGUGGAAAGAUCAGUGCAACUAUUGCAGAAUGUUUAAGACAAGUAUCUUUGCUUGGUCUUUACUACAAGUUUAACAAAACGAAAAAGUCAAUCUUUGUGUGGCCUUUAGUAUGAUUAACUUUUUGGAAGAUGACCUAAGCCUUCUAAUCAUUAUAUUUUGUCUGACAUUGGUCACCAGUCCUUGCUUAUUUUUAAAAGGUGACUGGAUGGAUUAAAUUUGAGAACAUGUCAAGUCGCCUUUGAAAAUUAUAUAGGCCAUCACAUUUAAUUAAUUCAUUCUAUCCACCAUUAAACUCUGGCAAUAAUUUGAAGUAGCUUGAAAAUUCCUAAAGUGGGAAUUUAUUUUAGAGAUGAUAGAACCUGUUUCCCCACUUUACAUUUUAAAAUAUGUCUGCCAGGAUCUAAUCAUUCCUUUAAACGUACACUUCAAAGAGAGAUUUUCCUAGUAAGAAAAGAGCUUUCUCUAGUGUGAAGGGUGCUUUGUAGCCGCCGAGUACUUAGGUCUUUUUUGGGAGCUAUUGUGUAUGAGUGUAUGUAUGUGUGUGUGUACAUGCAUGUUGCUGCGCGCAGUCAUUCAUUCACAUGGUGCUCAGACAACAAUGGGAGCUGGUUCGUCUAUCUUGUGGGUCCUGGAGAUCAAAGUGAGAUCAUCAGGCUUGGCAGCAAGUGCCUUUACCCUCCGCGUGCCAUCUUGCCAUCCCGCUGCUGAGUGUUUGAUAUGACAUUGCUGAUGAAAAUAAUCAUCACAACAGCAGUUCUCCCAGCAUUACUGAGAAAUGAUACUAUUUUUCUGAGGAGGAUGUUCAAGUAACUCAUCCAGUGCAGGAUCCUGCUUGAACUACUGCUCCUCCGUUACAUCAGACUCUGGCUGUUUAGACUACAGGAUGAAUUUGGAGUCUGUUUUGUGCUCCUGCCUCAAGAAGAAGGAUUGCCUGGAUUUAGAGGAGUGAAGAGUGCUGGAGAGAGCCCAAAGGGACAAACAAUCCCUAUGUGAGACUCAAGGACUGCCAGCAGCCUAUACAGCUACAUUACAUCUCAGCAGAACUUCUCUUCAAGUCCUCGCUACUCUGAACAAAAAGCUUACAGGCCACAUGGAGAAAAAAAGAUCUCCCCCCAGAAUUGUGGGCUUGCUGCUUUGCAGUGCUGGCGACCUAUUCCCUUUGACGAUCCCUAGGUGGAGAUGGGGCAUGAGGAUCCUCCAGGGGAAUAGCUCACCACCACUGGGCAACAGGCCUAGCCCAGAUUUCAGUGAGACGCUUUCCUGAACCCAGCAAGGAAGACAAAGGCUCAAAGAAUGCCACCCUACAUCAAAGUAGGAGAAAAGCUGCUGCAAUAGUGGCACUGACCUUCGAGGAAGCCAUUCUGCUCUAUUUGGUUCUCUCUCCAGAAGCUAGGAAAGCUUUGCCAGCUGUUUACAUACUUCAAGAUGCACUGCUACCCUACUCAUGCCAUAUAAUACACAAUGCCAUCUACCAAAUAUUACCCUUCCCCAAAGCAGCACAGAAAACUGGGUCUUCAGCGUGAUCGAGCAAUGUGAACACACAAAAGGAAGGCAGCUUUAUAAAUGACCCGAGGAUCAACAUGCCUGACUGCAGCAUCUUAAAAGCAAUAGAAUGAGUGUGUAUUGUGGGUGUGUCUAUUUCUUGUUUUAUGUAUCUAUUUUUUCCUUGGUCUGUGUGUCUAAUUCUUUGUUACAUCUAUUUCUUCCUUGCUUUGUGUGUCUAUUUCUUCCUUGCUUUGUGUGUCUAUUUCUUCCUUGCAUUAUGUCUAAUUCUUUGUUAUAUCUAUUUCUUCCUUGCUUUGUGUCUAUUUCUUCCUUGCAGUUGUGUCUAAUUCUUUGUUACAUCUAUUUCUUCCUUGCUUUGUGUGUCUAUUUCUUCCUUGCAUUGUGUCUAAUUCUUUGUUAUAUCUAUUUCUUCCUUGCUUUGUGUGUCUGUCUUCCUUGCUUUGUGUCUAUUUCUUCCUUGCAGUUGUGUCUAAUUCUUUGUUACAUCUAUUUCUUCCUUGCUUUUGUGUGUCUUUCUUUCUUGCUUUUGUGUGUCUAUUUCUUCCUUGCAGUUGUGUCUAAUUCUUUGUUACAUCUAUUUCUUCCUUGCUUUUGUGUGUCUAUUUCUUCCUUGCAUUGUGUCUAAUUCUUUGGUAUAUAUAUUUCUUCAUUGCUUUGUGUGUCUAUGUCUCCUUGUGUUGUCUAAUUCGUUGUUGCAUCUAUUUCUUCCUUGCUUUGUGUGUCUAUUUCUUCCUUGCUUUGUGUGUCUAUGUCUUCCUUGCUUUGUGUGUCUAUGUCUUCCUUGUUUUGUGUAUCUACUUCUUCCUUGUGUGUCUAAUUCUUUGUUACAUCUAUUUCUUCCUUCCUUUGCAUGUCUCCUUCUUUCCUUUGUGUGUCUUUUCUGUCUGCAGUGUGUCUUACCUAUUCCCAUGUUUCUCCUGCAUGUUCUUUCUUGCAGAGCUUUGAGCUUUGUUUCACUUUCUCUGGUGCCUGUGUGGUCUGCUUUGUCUUCACUAGCUAUGGCUCUCUGUUUUAUCUAUCUGGUUGCUAUUUCUCUUAGCUUUUCUUUCACUCCUGCCUUUCGUGACUCCCCUUUGGGUCACAUGUUGCAUGCAUCCCUCUCUUUUUCUUGUGCUCACCCCACUUGUUCUUUGUUCAAGUUCUCUUUGUCAGUCCAUUUCAGUUUUCUUUCUGCUGCUUCUAUCCUUAGUGAAUUCUUGUUUACAUUUCUUCCCUGCCUUUCUUGGGCCACUUUCUCUGUUUUCUUUUGUAUUUGUGUCUCUUUGCUAUUGGUGGAUUUCUUAUCUCAGCAUCAUUCUGUUGCUUUGUGUUUGCUUGUGUUUCUAUCUUCUACUUUCCUCCUUUCUGUUCACUUUGAGCAUUUCAUCUCUUUACAAGUCUGUGUCUCUCUUGUAUUCUAAAGUAAUCCUUUCUUGGAUGUUUCUUUGUAUGUACAUGUGCGUGUGUGCAUGUGUGUUAUGUGUGUCAUGUGUGAGAGGAGCUUCAUAGCCCCUUCCCAAUAGGUCCAGAAUGUCACCCGUGGAGCCGUUCCUCACACCAGACUGCCCUGAGAAAUAAUCUAAGACAAAAUACAUCAUUCCGUCCGGUCAGGAUUCAAGUGGCUCUGAAGUGAACGCCCAAGUAGAAGACAGAAGUUUUGCGACUUGAGAUUUAAAAGGACCAAAAUACACAGAUGGCCCGUCUUGAGCUGGCUGGACAGAAUGCUGACAACCCAAAGAAGAGGAACUGUUUCUACAGGACACCUGUGACUUCCAAGAGCGGGGAACUACGUAUGUCAUAAGACACAAAACCUGAGCUAAGUCCAAGCAUAAGACCUAAGGACCCAAUCCUAUAUGGACAGAAUAUUUAAGAGAUAAAGGCCUAUGGCCCAGAACUCUGGAAGGAUAUUUCUAUCCUUCUAUCCCCAAGACCAAGAAGGGAAAUUCGAAGAUGAGACCUGCCCCCCAACCCCAGCAUCCCUUUCCAUUUCUUAUAUUUCUAUUUAAGCUGUCUUCACUUGAGAUGUAAUUUUUCAUUGUUGCCAUUGCCCAUAAAGGAAUACGUUUUUAGCUGGAUAGUAUUGUGCAAGGGUCUGUUUUAAACUGGGUCUUAGCCAUUUGUUAAAUUGUUGAUGUUUUACAACUUCCAUUUCUCUUCACAUCUGCUCCACUUGAGACGGAACUAAAUCCAGCCAGUGUAUAUAGCCUGACUAUUGAAACUUCCCUAGGAAUAAGCAUGCAUACAGAUAUGCAUACUGCCAUCCUCCCUACCUCAGAAGCCCUAGGCUGACAAGAAAAGGAAAGCAUCAGGUUGUUAGGGGGAAAACAAUGUCAGGCUAUCUAGAGAAAAUAUAAAGAGUUGUUCCAGACCAAUGAGAAGAAUUAGACAAGCAAUAUGCAGAUGUGCCAACCCUCUGAGAAGCACCAGCCAGUGUCACCUUCUUUCUUUGGGCUUAGGUGAGCAGGGUAUGGUUUUCUAAUAAUGGUUUGGGGACAAAAUGAGGUCUGAACUCCCUGCUCAUAGUAGUGGCCGAGUAAUUUGGUGCAUUUCACCAAAGGAACUCCUGGGUCUAAUACCUACCUUUAAAAUUAAUGAUGAGAGACUCUAAGGACUACUUAACGGGCUUAAUCUUUUUCGUGCCUUCCUCUUCCUCUGUAAGAGGGAAGUUAAAUGACACAGGAUGAAAAAGUAACAUGCUCAUAGCACAUUGGCAAUUAUACAUGGUUAUUAUCUGAAAGUGUAGAGCUUUUCCUAUAAGGCAUCAGACUAAGUACCUGAAGCUUUGUGGGUUCAUGGUCUUAGUUGCAUAUUCCUUAGUUGCAAAUCCUUUUCAAAAGGUAAGAAAAAGGCACACUGGUCUAUUGCCUGUACUUGAUCAAGCCCUGAUAUGAAUGCCAGGGAAUGUCUGAGUAACAUUAAUUUCCUUCCCUGCAUAUUUUUUGUGCUGAAUACUAAGGCUGUGAUGCUUCACUGUGGUCACCCCCAGGUAACAAGAUAUUACCAGGUAACCAGGAAACGUAUGAAUACGUAAACCAUGAAGCCUACUGUAACUUCCAAGUCAGUGCUGAGUAUGUAUUACAUAGUAGCUGAAGUCUACGCCUCUGUGUGCUAUAGGCACAAAGAUUGCUCUAGGAAUAACAUGCUUUGUAAAAACAAAUAUAUGAACAUAACGGGGCUUGAAUGAAUAACAGUCCAUAUACUUAAGGCCAGUGUGUUUCUUCUGCUUUGGUGAGGCUCAGUAAGUUAUAUUAUACCAGGUAGCAGAAGAGAAAACACAUGGAAACUGAUUUUAAACUACAAACUAGGUCACUAAUGCAGGUGAUUGAUUACCCUAUUCUGAUCACCUUCUAAUUUCUGAAUACCCAUGUUCAGCACUGGGAAUAACAAAGGGGGACAUUACCACAGAACUAGAAUUUACAAAAGAAUGCAUUAAAUAAAGCAUUAUACAGCUAUCAAUUGUUCCAUGUGUGCAAAUGAAUGACUACUAACUACCUCUGAUGUAUCCGAUAUUGUUUUGGGUACAUGAAAUAUUCAUGAGUAACUGCCAUGAAAUAAGAAUGUUUGCAUUCCAUACUAUUCAUAAGGAAUGAGCCAAUGCUUAAUUUAAUCAGUCAAAACUUGAGUGAUAAGGGCAUGUUAAUACAAGAACAUUUGCCCAGGUCACAUUAUGGUUGUGGGUACUUUCUUAACUAUAAAGCAGUUCAGUAGUAUAAGACAAGACAAAUUUUCUAUAGAAAUAAAGCUGCCUAUAAAAUAGGCAUAGUCUCUACAAAAUUUUCAUUGUACUUUUUAGCCCAUAAUGGGAAGAGUACAGUUAACAAGCUGGGUGUGGUAGCAUGUGCUCUGAGCUGAAGCAACAGGACCACUUGAGCCCAGAAAUUGGAGGCUAGCCUGGGAAGACCAUAAGGUCAAUCUCAAACCUGGAGGCUAAAUAUUGUCUCCCAUGUGUAUAUUCUCUUUCAUGGGUACUGGAGAGAUACACAGACGUACAUUUCAGUGUGUCCACACUUGAGAAUAAUAUGUACGUUGGCAUUUUAUGAACUCGGAGGUACCAUAUAAAUGUAACAAUUCAUUUUCUUACUUGGUAUCAAUUUCCAGGCUUUUAAAAUUCUGCCACAUUUAUUAUACUGUGAAAAUAAAGUAAAUAAGUAACUGUGAACCACUGAAUAUAUGAAGCAUUCAAUACUUGAUGAGUACAUACUGAAUGGCAGUCAUUUAUUACAAAACAGUGCCCUUGCUAGGCACUGGGAUGCAAAGAGCAUUCUCAUUGUCCUGUGUAUCUAAAGAAAUUAUGCAUGAGAUUAAUUUAUAAUUUGUAAACUGCCAUAUAUAUGUGUAUAUAUGCAAUAUUUGCCUGGUGUGCAAUGACUUUGCUUUUAUCCCAGGCAUGCACAACAGAUCUGUGUGGAGCUUUGUGAAGUCUACAGUUCUAUAAAGCCGGGACCUAACUGUUGGCUUUAUCAGUGAACAGUGAUUACUUUCUAAGUUUCAUAAUGGCUGAAACUUAAUCAUAAUGCUUAUCACCUAACACCACCUAAUAAUAAUUUUACCAUGCUAUGUGUUGAGCGAACACAUAGAUUGCUUUCUAGCAUUAUGUAGCACUUAUAGGAGUGAAAUCUAGACCAAAACUUCAAUUCACUUCAAUGAGGAAAUGAAAACAGAAAAAAAAAAUGGAUUUGUGCAAGGCAGUGUGCUAAAUGUUACACUGAGUGGACUAUGCUGUCUAGGAUACUUCCCAGCUGGCUUGACUGAGGAGGUGGAAAAGGUUUUAUUAAUGACAGGAACUUUUUCCAUCCAGUUUCUUAAAUGUUUGUUGAAUGCUGCUGCCAGAGAUGAAUUACAAACACCUUGCCAGUAAAGGAGUUUUAUAGGGCCAGAGUGAGAUAAUCCCAGAGCAUGGGUAUCAGGGAACAAAACGGGAAGAGGCCAGAGCAUCUGAUGGCAUGUACUCAGUGUGGCCCAGAACCUCUCGAACUAGAUGUACUGGCUGGAGGGACCAAGCAUGCAGAACACAACACCUAAUGAAACAUUGUAUAUAAAAUAUGCUAACCUAGGUCCUAAAACUAAAAUGUGAGGUGGACCUAGUGUAGAUCACUGAUCAUAGGAGACAUGGUCUCAUAAAGCCCAGGCUGGUUCUAAUUGGUGACUGUCACAGCUUCUCAAGUGCUGAGAUUACAGAUGUGCUUAACCCAUGCCCAGCCUGAAGAAUAUAUCUGAUUACUGAGUGAAUAAUAUUUUUAAAGAAUUAUAUAUUUUAUGUAUAUGAGUACGCUGUUGCUGUCUUCAGACACACCAGAAGAGGGCACCACAUCACAUUACAGAUGGUUGUGAGCCCCCAUGUGGUUGUUGGGAUUUGAACUCAGGACCUUCGGAAGAGCAGUCAGACUCUUAACCACUGAGUCAUCUCUCCAGCCUUCUGAGUAAAUAUUUUAACUAUAAUGGCUGUUUGCGAAACCCAACCAAGGCCAAGAUUCCUUCAACAUAAACUGGAGACUUCCUAGCUAAGGAAGCUCCAAAAGUCAUUUUCUCAUUGGCCUAGCUUGAAGCCAGGACAGACUUAAAGUCUGUCCUUUAAUUCAUUACCCAUUUUCCUUUUCUUACUGUUGAAGUGUUUCAAAGGAGAAUCAAGAUGAAUCGAUAAUUCUAAACGUAUUUGUUCAUUGCCUGGCUCAGCGUCAUGUGAGCAAGAAGAAUAUACUAUCACACUCAUACUUUUAACUUAAGUGUGAUGAAAGUGCAGUUCUAAGUACUAAAAUUUCUAAGUACUGAAAAGAACAAAGACAUUUAAAGGAUGCAACCCAAAGUGUACUUUACCUCAGUAGUUUCUGAGGGGACUGCAGUCACACCUUGAGACUACAGCUCUCACUUUAGCUGGGAAAAACAUCAAGGUGUAGAGGAGGCAAGUUAAAUAAAAAGUUGCUCCCCUCCUCAUGGGCAUGCUUGGUAGAGUGGAAAUAAUAAAAGAGGUUCUCUAUUUCCUCGGUUCCACACAUUGCAGAAGAUGCUACUGGAUGCUAAGUGCAACACAUUUGUUCCAAAAGGGCACUCAGUGUGACUUACAGAUGCCCCGGAAAGCAGAGGGAUGCUCUUUAUUAAACAGAAAUAUUAGCUCAAACGUUUUCUAGACUGAAGAACACUUUCCUCAUUUCCCACAGUUUGCCUCAGAGGUUGAAUACAGGAAGGUUAUUAUUCAUUCAUUUGCUUUAUUGGUUCGCCUGUUCUACAAGGAUUUGCAUGUCUCUUAGGCCUUCACUUGGCUCCUGAGACAUGGAAAAAGGAAACAUAGACAUAGGGAAGUGCUGGAUGGGGGGGGGGUCUCUUUUCUGGGUAGUGGCACGACUUAGUCCUUAGUCCCCAAGUAAUAUGCAAUGUGAGUCCUCAUCCUCAUGUCUUCUCCGGCCACUGCAAUGAGUGGGAAGCUGGGCUUUGUAGCAAGCCUGACCCUAAAGUUACAGAAGCCCUCCACGCUAAGAAACUCAAUUUUCUAGGCCAUUUUAGCUAUGACUGUGACCACUACUGGUCAGGAGGGAUGACAGCCAUCUAAGUUCCACAAUCUUAGGCUACUUUGCAUUAUCCUGGGGCAAACAAGCCAUUUUUGAGCUGCAGCAGGCUUUGAAAUACAUUGACCAAUUUUGCCUGUGUUCGUUAAACCUUUUACCUUUUUACAUGCUAAUGCUCACAGUAAUUUAGAAAUGUUCUCCUUACUAUAAUAUACUCAAGGUGGCUUGCUAUGGUAAAAUAAUGCCAGUGGAUGAAAAUAACAUUAAUGUUUAACAUUCUUGCAUAAAAUUUAAGAAUAAUAAAAUUGACAACAAUCAGAAAACUGGAGGAACGAAAGACCAAAUUGAAAGAACUUGAAAAAGAUUAAAAAUGCCUGUGCUUUGACCCUUUCCAUUUUUCUUUCACUCACAGAGGGUGGGACAGGAGGCCGAGUGAAGGAAAGGGUCCAGCCUGUCUAUCUGGAAUCUAAGUUGGGACUUUAAUGCAGUUCCACAAAAUUGGUAUUAAUUCGCUAAAUGUUUCUGAAAAUGUAUUUUCAUCUAAAUGGCUAUCAGCUAAGCCUUGAGUCAAAUGGGAAUGAAACAGAUUAAGUCAAUGUGAUCUCUUUAUCCAAGUUGCCUUAGAGCUGAAGUCACAAUUUGCUGUAAGGAAGCUUAUUCAUUGUAGCAUACGCAUACUUUCAAAGUAUCUAGACUUUACUUAGUAACCCAAUCAGGACAUUCAGGCAAAAGAAAAGGAACAGAGAAGAUGGAGCCAGGUUGAAGAGGUCUGGGAGUUCAAACAAAUUUUUUUCAUUUUCAUUAAAACUCAAUUGGGCAUCAAAAGUGUUACUAAUAUUAGCUUUUAAUUAGUGGAAAUUGGCUGGAUUCAGUAAUAUCCCUUUGUAUGGGUAGGAAUGGGCUUACAUUUCUGGAAUUUGCAAAGGAAAAAAUAACUGAAAGCCUUCCUUUCACAGUUACUGCCAUCAAUAUUGCUACCAAUUAAGCACAUCCUACCAUCAUCUGCUUUGAUCACAUAAAUGAACUGUGUACCAAUCUGUUGUUGAAAGACUGGAGUCAUCUUCCCACCAACUGUGAAAAAACACAUGGAAAACACCUGGACUUUGUGAACGGAUGCGGAAUACAGAACUUCUGUUGACUCUUGGGUGUUUUGAAGACUUG